GUACUGGUGGAGACUUCACACUGUGAUUUUGACUCUGUUAGUGACCGUUCCUGAGCUCUCAAGUGCUCUCUAGUGGAGGACUCUGCCUCUGAGGAAUACUUGGGAAUCUGGUAGUUCUCGUAUGUAGUGAUUUGUUGAUCUGGACGAGUGGCUUGCACAGGUCUUCAGUUCCUCCUCUUCGUUUACAUGGUAAAUAGGGGUAACAGAUGUAAGGAGAUGUUCACCUCAACCACCCCGGGAUUGAACACGAAUCCUUUGGUUUUGAGACGAUGGGUCUACAGGACAUCGGAUGUGCAGCUCUGUGUAUUACAAAGGCAUCAUCUGUGUGUUCUACAUGCUUACUGUUCCUGUAUCCUACUUGCCAGAGUGAGGGACGUCUUGCCUGUGCAUUUCUUGCUGCAGUUGCCACAAGCCCCUAGGUCUGACUGAUCCUCCAUGUGUGCAGGCAUUCAGCUUAGGAAGCAACAUCGUGAAGACAGUUUCUGAACUACUGUGAUGAAACUGUCAUCGCUUUCCUGAAUGGAUGUACCUGUCAGCCUACAUUACCCAUGCCACUUGUCUGAGUAACAGCCCCUAACAGCUGUGUACAGGAUCCAUCAAGAGCUAGUCUGCCUCUCUCUGCCUUCCCAUCAACUGAGGUGCAUCCAUCUGCCUCAUGACUGCCAUCCCAACACCUACAGUUGUUGGCCAAUUUCACCUGCUUACCAGAACCAUCCACCAGCUGAACAUCGUACUUUAAGCUAAUCUUAAUUAAACUAGCAGUAAUGACUCUAGGUGUCAGAUUGUGUGCAAAUGAAUGUGGUGAUGGUGGUAGGUGGUUAUAGUUUCCCUUGAUGCUAGUGAAUGAGGUGUAGUGAAGGCAUUAUAUCAUGAGGAACUAAAUAUGUUCAUGGUAGGUUGUGACAAAUCUCCCCAUGAUGUAGAGCAUGGUGACUUCCCCAUGAUACUAAUGAGAAUAAGUGGGAUCAAAUAAAUGCUACUUGAAACAUCUGCAAAUGAUUUAUAAAUGGUCAUUAAUAUUACAGAAGAGAUAUUGUAUGCUGUUGUAUUAGAUCUCAAAGAAACAUGCCUAAAAUAAAAAAAUAUUUUUUAUCAUUUUGGUUAAAUCUUUUUUAUAAUUCACAGAAUGGGUAGGACUCAAAAUUUUAAGGUAAAUGCAGUAAAUUUUAACUAAAAGAUAAAUUUGCAUUUAAGUUUAAAUAAUAAGGAAACAACAAGUCGGCCGCCUCCCACCGAGGCAGGAAACAGAGAAGCAAUUGCUUUAACCCUUUGGGGGUUUUGGCUGUACUAGUACGGCUUACGCCCCAGGGUUUCUGACAUACUAGUACGCCUAAAUUCUAGCGCCCUCAAAUCUAGUAGGCCUACAUAUGAAAGAAUGGGUCUAUGUGGUCAGUGUGUGCAGUAUAAAAAAAAAAUCCUGCAGCACAGUGUGUAAUGAGAGAAAAAAAAAAAGUGUUUUUGGAUUAAAACAGCGACUUUGCAGUGUAUUCUCGUAUGGUACUUAUUGUUGUAUUCUAGUUUUCUUGGUCUCAUUUUAUAGAAUGGAAGACAUAUUACAGAAAUUGAGAUGAUUUUGACUGGUUUUACAAUGAAAAGUACCUUGAAACCGAGUUCAAAGUAGCAGAAAUGUUCGAUUUUUACCAAAGUUCAAAAGUAAACAAAUCAUGCCAAGCGUCCAAUACACAUCAACUGGCGAGUCUAAUAUUCUUUCACAAGUGUGCUGAUAUUAUUUAUACCAUUUCUACUCUAAUGCAUUAGUCUGCAUAACAGCAAAUCUUCUAUUUUUUGUAAGAAUAAAAAUUCAAAAUGGAAAGCCAAAGAAAUACAAGAGGGGACUGGGGAUGUGACUAACGAACAGAGAACUUAUUUUAGUGCCAGGAAUGUCUGUCUUGUUUGUUCUGAACCCUAUUCGGAAAUUGGCAUCUUUUGAAAUUUGUGUAAAAUUGGCAAAAUUGCUAAAUUCUGACCCUAGAUAACAGGGAUAUCUUGCUACUCCUACUUACACUUUGGUCACACUUCACAGACACACACAUGCAUAUAUAUAUACAUACAUCUAGGUUUUUCCCCUUUUUCUAAAUAGCUCUUGUUCUUCUUUAUUUCUUCUAUUGUCCAUGGGGAAGUGGAAAAGAAUCUUUCCUCCGUAAGCCAUGCGUGUCGUAUGAGGCGACUAAAAUGCCGGGAGCAAUGGGCUAGUAACCCCUUCUCCUGUAGACAUUUACUAAAAAAGAGAAGAAGAAAAACUUUAUAAAACUGGGAUGCUUGAAUGUGUGUGGAUGUAGUGCGGAUGACAAGAAACAGAUGAUUGCUGAUGUUAUGAAUGAAAAGAAGUUGGAUGUCCUGGCCCUAAGUGAAACAAAGCUGAAGGGGGUAGGGGAAAAUAAAUGGGAUUAAAUCUGGAGUAUCUGAGAGAGUUAGAGCAAAGGAAGGGGUAGCAGUAAUGUUGAAGGAUCAGUUAUGGAAGGAGAAAAGAGAAUAUGAAUGUGUAAAUUCAAGAAUUAUGUGGAUUAAAGUAAAGGUUGGAUGUGAAAAGUGGGUCAUAAUA